rnacentral:lncRNA from 10 species
GUUACAAGUUAUGUGAUCUCAGAAAAAUCACAACCUCUGAUCUUCAGUUUCCUCAUAUAUAAAAUAGGGGAUAAUCACAGCAUUUCCCUCAUAGGAUUGAUAUGAAGAUUAAAUAUAUGUAUAUACAUAUAUAUGUAUGUAUAUACACAUAUAUAUGUGUACACAUAUAUAUGUAUGUAUAUAUGUACGUAGUUUAGCACAUCAUUAUAAUUGUUAGUAGUAAUAGUAUUAAGAAGUGCAUGGUAGUAGAUUUUCUUCUAGGGAUCUGCUGCUGUUUUGUUGCUGCCCUCCCCACUCGGCUUCAAUGACCACUGUCCAUAAGAGAUGCUAUCACAGUUCUGUUCAGCUUUUUGAAAAGGACUAAAGUUAGAUGACAAUCUGUUUCCAGUGCUUCAUUUUUAUUGGUAACUUACAAAAUGAUUAUAGAUAGAAAAUUAGUUCAGUGUCAUUAAAAUACCUUUGAGUUAGAGUGGGGUCAACACUUUCUCUGUAAAGGGCCAGAGAGAAAAUAUUUUCGACUUUCUGAGCUAUAUGGGAUCUGUCUGUUGUAGUGUGAAAGCAGCCAUAGGCAAUAUGGAAAUGUCACUGCUCCAAUAAAAACUUACAAAAACAGGAACACAGUAAUCAUAAUUGCAUUGACCCGAGUCUUUUUUUUUUUUUUUUUUUUGAGGCAGAGUCUUGCUCUGUCACCCAGGCUAGAGUGCAGUGGUGCGAUCUCGGCUCACUGCAAACCUCCGCCACGCAGGUUCAAGCGAUUCUCCCACCUCAGCCUGCCGAGUAGCUGGGAUUACAGGUGCCUGCCACUGCGCCCAGCUUUCUCUUGAAGUUUAAUUGCAAUAGGAGUGUGCUUUUUUACCUCCACCUCCAGCUUUGAGCAUGCCCCAAUCUCUCUCACCUCAUUAUCUUCAGUGGUUUGCUGAUUCUAAUUGCUUGCAAAUUUCCUGGAGCACAGACUGUCUUCAGGUGUGCCUGAAAAAAAUCUGGCUGCUGGGGAUUUGAGGCACCAAUGCACUAGUAAUAUUAAUACCUUCAAGCUGUGGCUGAACGGUUGGCAAGUGAAUUCUUGGUUUGAGUACAGUUACUAGACACGCUGCUAAGUUUUGUCUCUAUCCAGUGGGUCCAGCAUUUUCUCAGUCAGUCUGAGUAUGGGGGCUAGUCUCAGGGGUGAAGAUCAAUGAUUUGAACUAGGAAUGCAGCACCACUUCCUCUGCCCCUUUUCCCUCAGCAUCUCUUCAGGGUGCCAUGUGCCUCUAAAUUCACUCAUUCAUUCAUGUCGUCAACAUUUAUUGAACACCUAUAAUGGAAUGAGCCAGAUACUGAGCUAUACCUGUAGGAUAUGGCAAUGAGGAUCGAGAGAUGCUGACCUGAAAGUGCUUAUGGUUUAGUGGAGAUGACAGAAAAAAUGAGUAAAAUGACUAUGAAUUGUCAAAAGUGCUACGGAGUUAACAAGCAGCUUAGUUCCAGAAGGAAGAUUGGAGGGGUGGUACGAGUUAUACAGAGUCAUUAUGGAAAGCCUCUCUGCAGAGGCAACAUUUAUCCUGAGAGUUCCAGGACAGGAGUCAGCCAGACUAAGAAAAGUAGAAUAUUCCUCCAAGCAUAAGGAAUAAAGACUUUGAGGCAAGAAAGAUAUUAGAAUUUUUGAGGAAUAGCAAGAAUGCUAAAUGUAAUUGGAGUACAGUGGACAAGGGAAAGAGUGGUAGGAGAUGUGACUGGACAGAUAGAAGGGGGUCAUGGAUUUUACUCUUACAAUGGGGAGCCAUUGGCACCAUGGAACAGAAUAGUGACUGAUCUGACUUUGAUUUAAAAAUAAUCACUCUGGAUGCUAAAUUUAAUGAGUCUAGGGGCCAUGAUGGGGUCAGAGAGACAUAGUAGGAAGUAAUUUAGGUGAGGAUGAUGGUGAUUUGGGCUAGAGGAAUGGUAAUAAAGAAGAAGAGAGGCAAAUAACAUACAUUUUGGAAACAAAAAUGACAGGACUGACUAAUGUAUUGAACUUAGUUGUGAGAUAAAGAGCAGAGAAGGAGUAUGGGGUGGGUUUGAGGAGAUAUCCCAACCUCUAGAAAUCUCUGCAGGAAGAGAGCCAGUGAAGGUGACAGUAGAGUGGUGACUGAGAUAAAAGGAAAAUCAAGAGUGCUUCAUUGUCUCAAGUAUAUGAGAGGAGGCAUGAGACUAGUGCAGCAAAGUAUCCACUGGGUUAAUCCCUAUGGAUGUCAUCAGUGAUCAUUAGUAGCCUGGAUGUCAUUUGUUGCACAAAAGACAGAUUGGAGUGGAUUCAGUAGAAUGGGAAAAGAACUGGAGACAGUAUAGACAAAUAUUUUGGUGAGUUUAGCUAUAAAAGGGAGAUGAGAAAUAAGGCAUAACAUAGGAGAGGAACGUGUAAUCA